GACGAAGGGGCUAGCGUUGUUCGGAAUUACUGGGCGUAAAGCGCGUGUAGGCGGUUGUUCAAGUCAGGUGUGAAAGCCUUGAGCUCAACUCAAGAAAUGCACUUGAUACUGGAUGACUAGAGGACCGGAGAGGAUAGUGGAAUUCCCAGUGUAGUGGUGAAAUACGUAGAGAUUGGGAAGAACACCAGUGGCGAAGGCGGCUAUCUGGACGGUUUCUGACGCUAAGACGCGAAAGCGUGGGGAGCAAACAGG
rnacentral:rRNA from 1 species